rnacentral:rRNA from 1 species
AGCAGCCGCGGUAAUUCCAGCUCCAAUAGCGUAUAUUAAAGUUGUUGCAGUUAAAAAGCUCGUAGUUGAAUUUCGGGGUUAGUAAGUUGGUCAUGCCUCUGGUAUGCACUGGCUUUACUGAUUCCUCCUUCUUGAUGAACUGUAAUGUCAUUAAUUUGGUGUUGCAGGGAAUCAGGACUGUUACUUUGAAAAAUUAGAGUGUUUAAAGCAGGCAUAAGCUUGAAUACAUUAGCAUGGAAUAAUGAAAUAGGACGUUUGAUCCUAUUUUGUUGGUUUCUAGGAUUGACGUAAUGAUUAAUAGGGAUAGUUGGGGGCAUUAGUAUUCAAUUGUCAGAGGUGAAAUUCUUGGAUUUAUUGAAGACUAACUACUGUCGAAAGCAUUUGCCAAGGAUGUUUCCAUUAAUCAAGAACGAAAGUUAGGGGAUCGAAGACGAUCAGAUACCGUCGUAGUCUUAACCAUAAACUAUGCCGACUAGGGAUCGGAUGAUGUUAUUUUAAUGA